rnacentral:misc_RNA from 1 species
GAGAGAGAGAGAGAGAGAAAAUGGAGGGAGAUCAAACAAUCAAAGCAAGGAAAGAAAGAAAGAUUUGGCUGCUUAGAUCUAAUUAAGCCGGAUCUGAGCCGAGCAAGGACAGUCAGACAAAAAAAAAUUAAAAAAAGUAAAAAAGAGAUCAGCUUUUUCAACUUUGCAGAGCCGCUACGCCAUGUUUGGAAGAUCUAUCUAAACUCAAAACCUCUCUUGGCUUCUCUUUGCUUGUUUCUCUCUCUCCGUCUCAGACGGCUUAUUUUGACGCCACAUGUGGGUGUGAUGUGAGAGAGAAAGGGAAAGAGAGGCUCGGCUGGUGGGAGUGGGUGAGAGGUUGG